rnacentral:rRNA from 1 species
AUUGAACGCUGGCGGCAGGCCUAACACAUGCAAGUCGAGCGGAGCGGCGGACGGGUGAGUAAUGCCUAGGAAUCUGCCUGGUAGUGGGGGAUAACGUCCGGAAACGGGCGCUAAUACCGCAUACUAUCAGAUGAGCCUAGGUCGGAUUAGCUAGUAGGUGGGGUAAUGGCUCACCUAGGCGACGAUACUUAGCUGGUUUGAGAGGAUGACCAGCCACACUGGAACGGGGAAAGGGUCCAGACUCCUACGGGAGGAAGAAGUGGGGAUUAUUGGACAAGGGGGGCAAGCCUGAUGCAGCCAUGCCGCGUGUAUGAAGAAGGCUUUCGGGUGGUAAAGUACUUUCAGCGGGGAGGCGUUACCCGCAGAAGAAGCACCGGCUAACUCCGUGCCAGCCGCCGCGGUAAUAC